CCUACGGGUGGCAGCAGUGAGGAAUAUUGGUCAAUGGGCGCGAGCCUGAACCAGCAAAGUAGCGUGAAGGAUGACUGCCCUACGGGUUGUAAACUUCGUUUAUAAAGGAAUAAAGUGAGGCACGUGUGCCUUUUUGUAUGUACUUUAUGAAUAAGGAUAGGCUAACUCCGUGCCAGCAGCCGCGGUAAUACGGAGGAUCCGAGCGUUAUCCGGAUUUAUUGGGUUUAAAGGGAGCGUAGAUGGGUUGUUAAGUCAGUUGUGAAGGUUUGCGGAGAAACCGUAAAAUUGCAAUUGAUACUGGCAGCCUUGAGUACAGUUGAGGUAGGCGGAAUUCGUGGUGUAGCGGUGAAAUGCUUAGAUAUCACGAAGAACGCCGAUUGCGAAGGCAGCCUACUAAACUGCCACUGACAUUGAUGCUCGAAAGUGUGGGUAUCAAACAGGAUUAGAUACCCGUGUAGUC
rnacentral:rRNA from 1 species